AAAAUUUUACCAAAGUAAAUUAUUAUUUUAAAUUUUGCAUAUUUGAUCCGAAGUUUUGAAAAACUAAUCAAACUAUCCUAAUUAUUCCUUUUUCACUCUCUCUCUUUUUUUUUUUGCCUCUUAUUCUUUUUUUCUUGCGGACCCUCCUCUACUAUCUCCGCGGCUCUCCACGAACAAGAACGACACCACCUUCUCUUCCUCUGCUUUAUUUCUUCGCUG
rnacentral:lncRNA from 1 species